GACGAACGCUGGCGGCGUGCCUAACACAUGCAAGUCGAGCGAUGAAGUUUCCUUCGGGAAAUGGAUUAGCGGCGGACGGGUGAGUGACACGUGGGUAAUCUGCCUCAUAGAGGGGAAUAGCCUCCCGAAAGGGAGAUUAAUACCGCAUAAUAUUACAGUUUCGCAUGAAACAGUAAUUAAAGGAGCAAUCCGCUAUGAGAUGGACCCGCGGCGCAUUAGCUAGUUGGUGAGGUAACGGCUCACCAAGGCGACGAUGCGUAGCCGACCUGAGGGGGUGAUCGGCCACAUUGGGACUGGGACACGGCCCAGACUCCUACGGGAGGCAGCAGUGGGGAAUAUUGCACAAUGGGGGAAACCCUGAUGCAGCAACGCCGCGUGAGUGAUGACGGUCUUCGGAUUGUAAAGCUCUGUCUUUGGGGACGAUAAUGACGGUACCCAAGGAGGAAGCCACGGCUAACUACGUGCCAGCCGCCGCCGUAAGAC
rnacentral:rRNA from 1 species